rnacentral:tRNA from 1 species
GGCUAAAUAACAUAAUUGGUAAAUGUGUUAGAUUGCAAAUCUUAAAAUGAUGGUUCAAGUCCGUCUUUAGCCU